GUGUGAGAUUGAUAGAGAGGAUGCGAAGGGAGAAUGGGAGAGAGAAAUAACAUAAGUGAAAAUGAAAACAAUUUCAAAUAGAUUUCAAUUUUUGAUUUUUGUUUUCACUUUUGUUACUUCUCUCUCCCAUUCUCCCAUCUCAUCUACCAUUUAAGAUU
rnacentral:miRNA from 1 species